rnacentral:rRNA from 1 species
GACGAACGCUGGCGGCGUGCUUAACACAUGCAAGUCGAACGGAAAGGCCCUGCUUUUGUGGGGUGCUCGAGUGGCGAACGGGUGAGUAACACGUGAGUAACCUGCCCUUGACUUUGGGAUAACUUCAGGAAACUGGGGCUAAUACCGGAUAUGAGCUCCUGCUGCAUGGUGGGGGUUGGAAAGUUUCGGCGGUUGGGGAUGGACUCGCGGCUUAUCAGCUUGUUGGUGGGGUAGUGGCUUACCAAGGCUUUGACGGGUAGCCGGCCUGAGAGGGUGACCGGCCACAUUGGGACUGAGAUACGGACCAGAAUCCUACGGGAGGCAGCAGUGGGGAAUAUUGCACAAUGGGCGGAAGCCUGAUGCAACAACGCCGCGUGCGGGAUGACGGCCUUCGGGUUGUAAACCGCUUUCGCCUGUGACGAAGCGUGAGUGACGGUAAUGGGUAAAGAAGCACCGGCUAACUACGUG